GGCCGCAGCCCGGGGCAGGCCCUUGCCCGCGCUCCUGGGGGAGGCCUGCCCUGUCCCCCGGCCCCCACCUUCGCCCGCCGCCGCCCCGCAGGUGCCAGGCCCCGGGCGCGCGUUGGCGACGCUCGUCUCCUUGCCUUUGCSCAGAGCAGUGCGCGGUCGGCCGCAGCUCGCGCAAGCGCCAUUAURCCUGACUUCUGUCUGCUUGACAGGGGCCAGAGCUGCGCCAGCGCGGGUGCACGCAGCUCGAGGUGCCGCUUAGGUGGUCUCGCCUGGCUUCGUGGCGGGCGAGCCGUUGCGCCGGCGGGCGGUUACUGCUGCGCUGGGCAGAGUCGCCUGUGCUCAGCCGGGCUGCCUUGCRGCGCCGCGGCCCCUUCUGCGCCGAGGACAUCCAGGAGCGGGAAGGGUUUCAUCCUUCCAAAGCUGAGUAUUGCAGUGACACAGUGACUGGCCAAUUUAUGCAGUCGGAAGAAGUACACAAACACGGCAGCAAGUUUGAUGUGUCAUAGRUGUUUACCUGCAGAGAGAUGAUUCAGAGGAGUGGAAUAUAUUGAUUUGUCCCCACGCUGAUGUUCCAGUUCAGCACUGGUCUGGGUCCAACCAGCUCAGAGCGGGUGCAGCCAGGUGAGAAGGUGCACUAAGCUGGGACUUCAGUGUGGUUGUGUGUGAAUUAGACAGGUUUGUAACUCUACUCCCUGCCCUUUUCAGUAGAUCAUACAAUAACUGAGGUUCAGAGACUUCAGGAGGACACAGAUGAUACAUUGCUCCUGUUUCUGUUCUUAAAGCUUCUAGGUACAGAGAUCUGAGGCACAAGCGUGAGGCAAGCAGUAAGCUGGGAACUGGGCCUGGUGUCCCAGGGUAGAGGCACAAGCCUAAACCUGGCAGUUGCAGAAGUGUUUCAGAGGAAGCUGUUUCCAGGAAGGAGCGGUCCGGUCCCAAGGGAGGGAGAAGGUGUGUGUUUGGAAGGCAAGUCUGUGGCCUCACAGCUGAAAGGAUGGAGAUUCCCUGGUGCAUCUGAUCGCAGCUGAUUACUGAAAUUAAUAGGGGGCAGGGCUGACCUGAGAAAAGGAUUAAAACGCUAAACAGCCAGGAAGUACUGGAGUUGCAAACAGGAAUUUAUGUUGCAAGGUAUAAAACCUGCUUGGAAUAUGCAACACAAACAAAGGAGGAAAAAUUAGCAGGGAGAUAAUUCCCGACCUAGCUGGUUAAUAGCUACUGUAAUAGUGUGUUAGGGUUAAGCAGGGAUAUUUGAAAGCACUGAUGUGUCAAGAAAGGUUUGUUUUGGGGGACAAGAUGGGCAGGAAAUAAAUGCAAAUUUUUAGCAAUCA
rnacentral:lncRNA from 1 species